rnacentral:rRNA from 1 species
GACGAACGCUGGCGGCGUGCUUAACACAUGCAAGUCGAACGAAGUGGCGAACGGGUGAGUAACGCGUAAUCAACCUGCCCUUCAGAGGGGGACAACAGUUGGAAACGACGGCUAAUACCGCAUACGGAAGGAGGGGAUUGCGUCUGAUUAGCUGGUUGGAGGGGUAACGGCCCACCAAGGCGACGAACAGUAGCCGGUCCGAGAGGAUGAACGGCCACCUUGGGACCUGGAACCGGCCCCGACUCCCACGGGAGGCAACAGUGGGGAAUCUUCCGGAAUGGACGAAAGUCUGACGGAGCAACGCCACGUUAGUGAUGACGGCCUUCGGGUUGUAAAGCUCUGUUAAUCGGGACGCGGUACCGGAAUAGAAAGCCACGGCUAACUACGUGCCAGCAGCCGCGGUAAUAC